UACAGAGGAGCCAAGCGUUGUCCGGAUUGACUGGGCGUAAAGCGCACGCAGGCGGGUGCGCGCGUGGGGUGUGAAACCGGGUGGCUUAACUGCCCGUCGCCAUCCCAUACGGCGCGCCUGGAGCCAUCCAGAGGUCGGUGGAAUUGCCGGUGUAGUGGUGAAAUGCGUAGAUAUCGGGAGGAACACCAGUGGCGAAGGCGACUUCCUGGCCUGUUCUUGACGCUGAGGCGCGAAAGCUAGGGUAGCAAACGGG
rnacentral:rRNA from 1 species